UACGUAGGGUGCGAGCGUUGUCCGGAAUUAUUGGGCGUAAAGAGCUCGUAGGCGGUCUGUCGCGUCUGCUGUGAAAUCCCGAGGCUCAACCUCGGGCUUGCAGUGGGUACGGGCAGGCUAGAGUGCGGUAGGGGAGAAUGGAACUCCUGGUGUAGCGGUGGAAUGCGCAGAUAUCAGGAAGAACACCCGUGGCUAAGGCGGCUCUCUAGUACGGUACUGACGCUGAGACGCGAAAGCGUGGGGAGCGAACAGG
rnacentral:rRNA from 1 species